rnacentral:rRNA from 1 species
UACGUAGGGUGCGAGCGUUGUCCGGAAUUAUUGGGCGUAAAGAGCUCGUAGGCGGUUUGUCGCGUCGACUGUGAAAACUGGGGGCUUAACUCUCAGCUUGCAGUUGAUACGGGCAGACUUGAGUGUGGUAGGGGAGACUGGAAUUCCUGGUGUAGCGGUGAAAUGCGCAGAUAUCAGGAGGAACACCGAUGGCGAAGGCAGGUCUCUGGGCCACUACUGACGCUGAGAAGCGAAAGCAUGGGGAGCGAACAGG